rnacentral:rRNA from 1 species
CCUACGGGGGGCAGCAGUGAGGAAUAUUGGUCAAUGGCCGGAAGGCUGAACCAGCCAUGCCGCGUGAAGGUCAGUGCCCUAUGGGCGUUAAACUUCUUUUGUGCGGGAGCAAUAAUGGUCACGUGUGGCCAGACGAGAGUACCGUACGAAUAAGCAUCGGCUAACUCCGUGCCAGCAGCCGCGGUAAUACGGGGGAUGCAAGCGUUAUCCGGAUUUAUUGGGGUUAAAGGGUGCGUAGGCUGUGAGGUAAGUCAGCGGUGAAAUGCCCCCGCUCAACGGGGUGAAGUGCCAUUGAUACUGCCUUGCUGGAAUGCGGAUGCCGUGGGAGGAAUGUGUGGUGGAGCGGUGAAAUGCAUAGAUAUCACACAGAACACCGAUUGCGAAGGCAUCUCACGAAUCCGCGAUUGACGCUGAUGCACGAAAGCGUGGGUAUCAAACAGGAUUAGAUACCCCUGUAGUC